rnacentral:rRNA from 1 species
UACGGGGGGGGCAAGCGUUGUUCGGAAUUACUGGGCGUAAAGGGCUCGUAGGCGGCCAACUAAGCCGGAUGUGAAAUCCCCAGGCUCAACCUGGGAACUGCGUCCGAUACUGGCAGGCUUGAAUCCGGGAGAGGGAUGUGGAAUUCCAGGUGUAGCGGUGAAAUGCGUAGAUAUCUGGAGGAACACCGGUGGCGAAGGCGGCAUCCUGGACCGGUAUUGACGCUGAGGCGCGAAAGCUAGGGGAGCAAACGGG